CCCAUUUAAUUUCAAAACGCUGUCGUUUCUUUUUCCCCCACCAAUCAACGCCUCUCUUCAUUUUCUUUUCCAUUUACUUUUCAAGUUUAUUCAGCUCAUUGCCAAACGACGUCGUUCCGUUCUCUUUUACUCUGCUCAUUGCUAGAACGCCGCCGUCACAUAUCGCCCACAACUGUUGACCUCCGCCACCCGCCUCGCCCGGCGUCCGCCACCGCUUCGCCCGGCGUCCGCCACCGCUUCGCCCGAUUCCCCUAUCACGUGGCGCCGCUUUUUUCCUCCAGUAGUAUGCCUACAGCCACUUCCCUUUUUCCUCCUACUUCCGUACGUGCGUUGUCCUCCUCCUGCCACUGCUGCAGAAAUAUUUACCUUCCCAUCUCUAUCUGUUAAUCCUCAGAACUGAGCGGCGAUUGUCCAGGUGUUCCAGUGACUUGCUUCAAAACUCGGCCAAUCCUCGCACCGCCACUGCUACUCCGUUCGGGGUCGGCAUCCGUUUCGACGCCGCAGCUCCAAUUUUUUCUUCCAACACUUUUUCUCCUCAAGAACCUUUUAAGUCAAUUUUUCUUCCAGAGUUGCCAUGGGAGCGAGGUCAGUUUUAUUAGCGUCUUUGUUUUCCAGUGGUUUAUUCAUCGGGAUUCUUUGAUUUUCAGGUUCAGUGGAGGAUUUCCUGGCGGCGGCGAUGGAUGCUGCUAAGAGUGCUGGGAGGUGCUCUUCGGCAAUUUUUUCAGGACAUAAUUAGAUCAGCUUUCGCCCACAUUUCACUGUUUUUAUUACUAUUUUUAUU